CAAGGGCAGUCGCCGCCUCGGGACGGGGCCCGGGAAGGGACAAUCGCCGCUCGAGCUCCCGCGACCUCAUAGGCGGCGGCGCCCACGUGAUCGGGCCUGUCACAGAAACCGCGGCGGCCAUCUUGGAAGAGGGCGGAAAGCCGCCUGAGCCCGGCCGGAGGGAGGGCGCUGGCUUUCCGACGGAGCACAACUUGGAGAAGCAGAAGGUGUGCAGUUCAAUGGCAUUGAGUGCGUUCACAUUGUUGCGUGAGAACUAUCACCAACAACCAUUGCUGGAACUUUUUCAUCUCAGACUGAAACUCUGUACUCAUUUAAACCGGAAUGCAGUUGGGAAGGUGUAACAGCAUCCCAGAAUCCCAGACUAAAGACCGUAUCAUAACUACUCACAGGUGGCCGCUCUUCCUUACUCAUCUGCCCAGUCUCUUGGUUGGUUGGUUGGUUGGUUUGGCCCAGAGAUUCCCCACUUAAAUAAACUGCCUUGAAAUACACCAGCAAUAAAUUCAAGAGAUCAAAACGUCAUUUUAGCAGCAGAGGGCGCUCUCAUCUCUUUCUCUGGAGGCCAUCAUAGCUUUAUUUCAGUGUUGUAGUUAUGUGACUGCUUGUGCCUGAGUUAUCUGGGGUGCUUAUUUAGAAUGCAGGCUCCUGAACCCCAACCCCAGAGACUUUGAUGCAGAACAUUUGGGUGGGACUGGGAGUAUGUAUGUUAAGUUAGCUCCUCUGCUGAUUCUAAGGCAGCCAGGGGCAAGCACCAUUGAUCUGGUCUAUGUCAAGUCUUCUGGAGGUCCUUGGAGCUGUGUGUGGUGCCAAGGAGAAUGCCUCACCACUCCCCAAUCUCUCUCCACCAACCUACUCCCUCUACCAAAUCCUGUCUCUCCUCCUGGCAUCCCUGGUCUCAUCCAGGGGUACCGCCUUUAUUCAGUCAUUCAUGCAUGAAAGUUGGAGAGACUUAACUUAUUCCUCUCCCCGGCCUCCUAAAACCAUUCCAUCUCCAAGUCUUAUACGUUUUACACUGAAAUGUCUCUCUCAUCUUUCCUCUUUUAUCUAUCGUUAUUGUCAUUGUCCCAAUUCAGGCCUUUAGCCUGGACCAUUGCACCAGCCUCCUCAUGGGUCACCCUUCAUCAGACCCCACUCAGAUGUCUCCAUCUUGGAUAAGCUUUCUUCAGUGCCCACAAGCAAGAAAUAGUUACUCUUUCCACUCUUCUACUGACAUACAUGAUAACCCUCUACCCUGGUCUGUCUGUCACACUGUAGAGAAAUCUUAGCCUCCUCCGUUAGUCUGGAAAGGAACAUGUCUGGUCUGAUUCAUCUCUGUAUGCCAUUUGCAGGGGCUAGAACAAAGAGGUCCUCAGAAAGUAGUGUGAAUGAAUAUUUUUUUAUUUUAUUUACUUUUGAGAUGGGGGGGGUGUGGAAGAGAGAGGGAGGGAGAGAGAAUCCCAGGCAGGCUCCAUGAGAUCAUAACCUGAGCCGAAAUCAAGAGUCAGAUGCUUAACUGAGUGAGCCACCCAGGCGCCCUGGAAUGCAUAAUUUAAUAGUUGUUUUCCACUUCAUUUGCCAAAUCUGGAAAGGCCAUUCUGUGCAGAGAUACUCAUGUGCAUUUGGCUUUGAAUCUCAAAGAUCUUCUGCCUAAGGGACUUUGGACAUGCCCUCCCUUCUGCCUAGAACACUGUCUAGAACUCUGCCUAUCUCUCCUUCAAGAUUUAGUGUAAAUGAUACAUCUACAGAGAUACCUCUGAUUUCUCUAUCUAAAUCAGAUCUCUUCAGAUGAAAGAACAAUACAGGAGAGAAAAACAAGAAGAAUCACAAGGCAGUAUACAUUUGAGUGCCAAAUAAGGCAAGGAGUGAAAAAAUUGUUUAGGAGUUCAAGGAAUGGAGAAGUUACUGUGAAUUAGGAGGCUAGAUAAGACUUCCUAUAAGAGAUGGAAUAUAAACUUUGAGUCUUCAAGAUGGUGUAAGAAUGAGAUAGAUAGAAAGUAGGUGGGGUGGGGAGCCUGGGUGGCUCAGUCAGUUAAGCAUCCAACUCUUGAUUUCAGCUCAGGUUGUGAUCUCACUGUUGUGGGUUCGAGCCCCACACUUAGUCAGUUAGGCAUCCAACUCGAUUUUGGCUCACGUUAUGAUCUCAUGGUUCAUGAGUUUGAGCCUCAUGUCAGGUUCUGCACUGCGUGGAGCCUGCUUGGAUUCUGUCUCUCUCCCUCUCUCUCUGCUCGUCCCCCGCUCACAUGAGCAUGUACUCUCUCUCUCUUUCAAAAUAAAUAAACUGUUUUUAACAAAUUAAAAAAAAAAAAAAAAAAGAAAGUAGGUAGGGUGGUCAUUCCAGAGGCUGCGGGCAGGACUGCCAUGAGCAGUCAUGCAGGUGGCCCAGGAGGCCUCAAAGUUGGAGGAAUCCAACUU